rnacentral:rRNA from 1 species
CUUAGUGGUGGGGUGACUGCGUACCUUUUGUAUAAUGGGUCAGCGACUUAUAUUCUGUAGCAAGGUUAACCGAAUAGGGGAGCCGGAGGGAAACCGAGUCUUAAUUGGGCGUUAAGUUGCAGGGUAUAGACCCGAAACCCGGUGAUCUAGCCAUGGGCAGGUUGAAGGUUGGGUAACACUAACUGGAGGACCGAACCGACUAAUGUUGAAAAAUUAGCGGAUGACCUGUGGCUGGGGGUGAAAGGCCAAUCAAACCGGGAGAUAGCUGGUUCUCCCCGAAAGCUAUUUAGGUAGCGCCUCGUGAAUUCAUCUCCGGGGGUAGAGCACUGUUUCGGCUAGGGGGCCAUCCCGGCUUACCAACCCGAUGCAAACUGCGAAUACCGGAGAAUGUUAUCACGGGAGACACACGGCGGGUGCUAACGUCCGUCGUGAAGAGGGAAACAACCCAGACCGCCAGCUAAGGUCCCAAAGUCAUGGUUAAGUGGGAAACGAUGUGGGAAGGCCCAGACAGCCAGGAUGUUGGCUUAGAAGCAGCCAUCAUUUAAAGAAAGCGUAAUAGCUCACUGGUCGAGUCGGCCUGCGCGGAAGAUGUAACGGGGCUAAACCAU